rnacentral:rRNA from 1 species
CCCGCACAAGCGGAGGAACAUGUGGUUUAAUUCGAUGAUACGCGAGGAACCUUACCCGGGCUUGAAAUGCAUCUGACCGGCCUUGAAAGAGGCAAUCCCUUCGGGGCAGAUGUGUAGGUGCUGCAUGGUUGUCGUCAGCUCGUGCCGUGAGGUGUCGGCUUAAGUGCCAUAACGAGCGCAACCCUCAUCAUUAGUUACCAUCAGGUCAAGCUGGGGACUCUAAUGAGACUGCCAUCGUAAGAUGCGAGGAAGGUGGGGAUGACGUCAAAUCAGCACGGCCCUUACGUCCGGGGCGACACACGUGUUACAAUGGGUGGUACAAAGGGCAGCUACCUGGCGACAGGAUGCUAAUCUCCAAAACCGCUCUCAGUUCGGAUCGGAGUCUGCAACUCGACUCCGUGAAGCUGGAUUCGCUAGUAAUCGCGCAUCAGCCACGGCGCGGUGAAUACGUUCCCGGGCCUU